rnacentral:rRNA from 1 species
GACGAACGCUGGCGGCGUGCUUAACACAUGCAAGUCGAGCGGUAAGGCCCUUUCGAGGGUACACGAGCGGCGAACGGGUGAGUAACACGUGGGUGACCUGCCCUUAGCUCUGGGAUAAGCCUGGGAAACUGGGUCUAAUACCGGAUAUGACUCCAUAACGCAUGUUGUGGGGUGGAAAGCCUUGUGCGGCUAGGGAUGGGCCCGCGGCCUAUCAGCUUGUUGGUGGGGUGAUGGCCUACCAAGGCGACGACGGGUAGCCGGCCUGAGAGGCGACCGGCCACACUGGGACUGAGACACGGCCCAGACUCCUACGGGAGGCAGCAGUGGGGAAUCUUGCGCAAUGGGCGAAAGCCUGACGCAGCGACGCCGCGUGGGGA